CAAACUCCUACGGGAGGCAGCAGUAGGGAAUCUUCCACAAUGGACGCAAGUCUGAUGGAGCAACGCCGCGUGAGUGAAGAAGGCUUUCGGGUCGUAAAACUCUGUUGUUGGAGAAGAAUGGUCGGCAGAGUAACUGUUGUCGGCGUGACGGUAUCCAACCAGAAAGCCACGGCUAACUACGUGCCAGCAGCCGCGGUAAUACGUAGGUGGCAAGCGUUAUCCGGAUUUAUUGGGCGUAAAGCGAGCGCAGGCGGUUUUUUAAGUCUGAUGUGAAAGCCCUCGGCUUAACCGAGGAAGCGCAUCGGAAACUGGGAAACUUGAGUGCAGAAGAGGACAGUGGAACUCCAUGUGUAGCGGUGAAAUGCGUAGAUAUAUGGAAGAACACCAGUGGCGAAGGCGGCUGUCUGGUCUGUAACUGACGCUGAGGCUCGAAAGCAUGGGUAGCGAACAGGAUUAGAUACCCUGGUAGUCCAUGCCGUAAACGAUGAAUGCUAGGUGUUGGAGGGUUUCCGCCCUUCAGUGCCGCAGCUAACGCAUUAAGCAUUCCGCCUGGGGAGUACGACCGCAAGGUUGAAACUCAAAGGAAUUGACGGGGGCCCGCACAAGCGGUGGAGCAUGUGGUUUAAUUCGAAGCAACGCGAAGAACCUUACCAGGUCUUGACAUCUUUUGAUCACCUGAGAGAUCAGGCUUCCCCUUCGGGGGCAAAAUGACAGGUGGUGCAUGGUUGUCGUCAGCUCGUGUCGUGAGAUGUUGGGUUAAGUCCCGCAACGAGCGCAACCCUUAUGACUAGUUGCCAGCAUUUAGUUGGGCACUCUAGUAAGACUGCCGGUGACAAACCGGAGGAAGGUGGGGAUGACGUCAAAUCAUCAUGCCCCUUAUGACCUGGGCUACACACGUGCUACAAUGGAUGGUACAACGAGUUGCGAGACCGCGAGGUCAAGCUAAUCUCUUAAAGCCAUUCUCAGUUCGGACUGUAGGCUGCAACUCGCCUACACGAAGUCGGAAUCGCUAGUAAUCGCGGAUCAGCACGCCGCGGUGAAUACGUUCCCGGGCCUUGUACACACCGCCCGUCACACCA
rnacentral:rRNA from 1 species